rnacentral:rRNA from 1 species
GACGAACCGUACGAACGUUAUUCGGAAUUACUGGGCUUAAAGGGUGCGUAGGCUGCGCGGAAAGUUGGGUGUGAAAUCCCUCGGCUCAACCGAGGAACUGCGCUCAAAACUACCGUGCUCGAGGGAGACAGAGGUGAGCGGAACUUAGGGUGGAGCGGUGAAAUGCGUUGAUAUCCUAAGGAACACCCGUGGCGAAAGCGGCUCACUGGGGGUCUUCUGACGCUGAGGAACGAAAGCCAGGGGAGCGAACGGG